rnacentral:rRNA from 1 species
UACGUAGGGGGCAAGCGUUGUCCGGAUUUAUUGGGCGUAAAGCGCGUGUAGGCGGCCAGAUAGGUCUGCUGUGAAAACUCGAGGCUCAACCUCGAGCUGUCGGCGGAAACCAUCUGGCUAGAGUCCGGAAGAGGAGAGUGGAAUUCCUGGUGUAGCGGUGAAAUGCGCAGAUAUCAGGAAGAACACCUAUGGCGAAGGCAGCUCUCUGGGACGGUACUGACGCUAAGACGCGAAAGCGUGGGGAGCGAACAGG